AUUUAACGCUGGCGGCAGGCCUAACACAUGCAAGUCGAGUGGAGCGGCGGACGGGUGGGUAAUGCCUAGGAAUCUGCCUGGUAGUGGGGGAUAACGUCCGGAAACGGGCGCUAAUACCGCAUACUAUCAGAUGAGCCUAGGUCGGAUUAGCUAGUUGGUGGGGUAAAGGCCUACCAAGGCGACGAUCCGUAACUGGUCUGAGAGGAUGAUCAGUCACACUGGAACUGAGACACGGUCCAGACUCCUACGGGAGGCAGCAGUGGGGAAUAUUGGACAAUGGGCGAAAGCCUGAUCCAGCCAUGCCGCGUGUGUGAAGAAGGUCUUCGGAUUUUAAAGCCCUUUAAGUUGGGAAGCCUUAACAACAGACUGAGCACCGGCUAACUUCGUGCCCGCAACCGCGGUAAUAC
rnacentral:rRNA from 1 species